rnacentral:rRNA from 1 species
GAUGAACGCUGGCGGCGUGCCUAAUACAUGCACGUCGAGCGAAUGGAUUAAGAGCUUGCUCUUAUGAAGUUAGCGGCGGACGGGUGAGUAACACGUGGGUAACCUGCCCAUAAGACUGGGAUAACUCCGGGAAACCGGGGCUAAUACCGGAUAACAUUUUGAACCGCAUGGUUCGAAAUUGAAAGGCGGCUUCGGCUGUCACUUAUGGAUGGACUCGAGUCGCAUUAGCUAGUUGGUGAGGUAACGGCUCACCAAGGCAACGAUGCGUAGCCGAUCGGAGAGGGUAAGCGGCCACACUGGGACUGAGACACGGCCCAGACUCCGUCUGGAGGCAGCAGUAGGGAAUCUUCCGCAAUGGACGAAAGUCUUACGUGGCAACGCCGCGUGAGUGAUGAAGGCUUUCGGGUCGUAAACUCUGUUGUUAGGGAAGAACAAGUGCUAGUUGAAUAAGCUGGCACCUUGACGGUACCUAACCAGAAAGCCACGGCUAACUACGUGCCAGCAGCCGCGGUAA